UUGAAAGCAGCUUCUUUGCUUUCUUCUUUUUAGAUUCACUGGCUGGGUUAAACAUCAAAUACAUUUUCUUUUUAUUUGUUUCGGUUUUCAUUUUGCAAUUUUUAUUUUAUUUUAUUUUAUUUGUUUCUAUAUGUAUAUAUAGCGCCAUAAACAUUUUAAAAGUAUUUUAUAUAUUUAAAUUCUUGUACAUUACUAGAUUGUAUUAUCUAAAUUUCAAAAAUAUUUAUGUACUUAUAUCAUUUUUAUACGAGGAAAGGUCGAUAUGAUUAAUAUUUAAAAUAAUUUUACACAUUUUCAUAAUUAUUUAUAUGAUUAAUAUUUUAACAAUUCAACGGUUAUAUUUUAUAGCCUACUCAUGUAAAUCAUGAAUGUCAAAUAUAUUAUGUAUUUGUGUACUUUUGUUAUAUUUUAAUUAUUUAUUCUUUUAAACCUAAAAACUAAUCAUUGGAUAUUAAGCCAGGCAGUGAAUCAAAAGUGAAGAAAGAAACGAAUAAACUAUUGGCAGCGGCAUUUUGUUUUUAAUUUAAAAGAUUAAAAGUAAAUAUUGCAGUAUAAUUGAAGAUGAUAUUUCAUCAAGCAAGAAAACUUGAAGUGAUUUAGUGCGAUUAUUUUUUAUAUUUAAGAGAUACGCGAUCAAAGGUGUGUUUUUGUUUAUCUCAAGCAGACAUUGAAGGUGAUUGAUAUGAACCAGAACUCUUUAGAUUUUGUUCUUAUCAUACUAGCUUAAUUCAUCAAGAUUGAGACGCGAACACAUUUACGGAUUUCGGUGCAGAUCAGGGGUGAAGUUAGGAAAAAUUUUUGGGCAGAAUUACCUUGUAUAUUUUUAUUAUAGUAAAAAUACAAUUUCAUCAUUUUGAUAGCUUAUAUUUUUAUAAUUUUUAGAAUACUAAAAUAUUUUUUUAUCAUUUUUGGGAGGCCAAUGUGCAAUUUUAUCAUUACUAAUUUAAAAUUCUAUAAAUUAUAAAGGGCCUAAAUGAAAUUUUUCUAAUUUAGGGGGGUCGAGGCCAUGCUAGCUCCCCUAGAUA